rnacentral:sRNA from 1 species
CGGAGGACCAGCGGCCGCACUCUGAACCUCUUCGUAUACUGAGCAGUCUGAGAAAAACCAUGAAUCGUUAAAACUUUCAACAACGGAUCUCUUGGUUCUGGCAUCGAUGAAUAACGCAACGAACUGCGAUAAGUAAUGUGAAUUGCAGAAUUCAGUGAAACAUCGAAUCUUUGAACGCACAUUGCGCCCGCCAGCAUUCUGGCGGGCAUGCCUGUCCGAGCGUCAUUUCCACCCUCACGCGCCCCUUUAGUGCGUGGUGUUGGGGCAUACUGCGGCUGCCGCGAGGCACCGCAUGCCCUGAAACCCAGUGGCGGGCCGGCAGAACGCUCCGAGCGCAGUAAGCAUCACGCCCUCGCUCCGGACGCCCCUGCUGGCAGCUCGCCCUGCGGCGGAAACGCUUGCACCAACCAUCUUAAAGGU